GGCUGGUCCAAGUGCAAUAGUGUUUGCAAGAAAUUGAUCACAACCACUUACAGAUUUAUUUGUUCUUUUUCCACUCCCACUGCUUCACUUGACCAGUCUUAA
ensembl:misc_RNA Y_RNA Y RNA